rnacentral:rRNA from 1 species
GACGAACGCUGGCGGCGUGCUUAACACAUGCAAGUCGAACGGAAAGGCCCUGCUUUUGUUGGGUGCUCGAGUGGCGAACGGGUGAGUAACACGUGAGUAACCUGCCCUUGACUUUGGGAUAACUUCAGGAAACUGGGGCUAAUACCUGAUAGGAGCUCCUGCUGCAUGGUGGGGGUUGGAAAGUUUCGGCGGUUAGGGAUGGACUCGCGGCUUAUCAACUUGUUGGUGGGGUAGUGGCUUACCAAGGCUUUGACGGGUAGCCGGCCUGAGAGGGUGACCGGCCACAUUGGGACUGAGAUACGGCCCAGACUGCUACGGGAGGCAGCAGUGGAGAAUAUUGCACAAUGGGCGGAAGCCUGAUGCAGCAACGCAGCGUGCGGGAUGACGGCCUUCGGGCUGUAAACCGCUUUCGCCUGUGACGAAGCGUGAGUGACGGUAAUGGGUAAAGAAGCACCGGCUAACUACGUG